ensembl:piRNA 21ur-905 ncRNA
UGAUCAUUCAUGUAACGGUUC